rnacentral:rRNA from 1 species
GACGAACGCUGGCGGCGUGCUUAACACAUGCAAGUCGAACGGAAAGGCCCUGCUUUUGUGGGGUGCUCGAGUGGCGAACGGGUGAGUAACACGUGAGUAACCUGCCCUUGACUUUGGGAUAACUUCAGGAAACUGGGGCUAAUACCGGAUAGGAGCUCCUGCUGCAUGGUGGGGGUUGGAAAGUUUCGGCGGUUGGGGAUGGACUCGCGGCUUAUCAGCUUGUUGGUGGGGUAGUGGCUUACCAAGGCUUUGACGGGUAGCCGGCCUGAGAGGGUGACCGGCCACAUUGGGACUGAGAUACGGCCCAGACUCCUACGGGAGGCAGCAGUGGGGAAUAUUGCACAAUGGGCGGAAGCCUGAUGCAGCAACGCCGCGUGCGGGAUGACGGCCUUCGGGUUGUAAACCGCUUUCGCCUGUGACGAAGCGUGAGUGACGGUAAUGGGUAAAGAAGCACCGGCUAACUACGUGCCAGCAGCCGCGGUGAUACGUAGGGUGCGAGCGUUGUCCGGAUUUAUUGGGCGUAAAGGGCUCGUAGGUGGUUGAUCGCGUCGGAAGUGUAAUCUUGGGGCUUAACCCUGAGCGUGCUUUCGAUACGGGUUGACUUGAGGAAGGUAGGGGAGAAUGGAAUUCCUGGUGGAGCGGUGGAAUGCGCAGAUAUCAGGAGGAACACCAGUGGCGAAGGCGGUUCUCUGGGCCUUUCCUGACGCUGAGGAGCGAAAGCGUGGGGAGCGAACAGGCUUAGAUACCCUGGUAGUCCACGCUGUAAACGGUGGGUACUAGGUGUGGGGUCCAUUCCACGGGUUCCGUGCCGUAGCUAACGCUUUAAGUACCCCGCCUGGGGAGUACGGCCGCAAGGCUAAAACUCAAAGGAAUUGACGGGGCCCCGCACAAGCGGCGGAGCAUGCGGAUUAAUUCGAUGCAACGCGUAGAACCUUACCUGGGUUUGACAUGGAUCGGGAGCGCUCAGAGAUGGGUGUGCCUCUUUUGGGGUCGGUUCACAGGUGGUGCAUGGCUGUCGUCAGCUCGUGUCGUGAGAUGUUGGGUUAAGUCCCGCAACGAGCGCAACCCUUGUUCACUGUUGCCAGCACGUUAUGGUGGGGACUCAGUGGAGACCGCCGGGGUCAACUCGGAGGAAGGUGGGGAUGACGUCAAGUCAUCAUGCCCCUUAUGUCCAGGGCUUCACGCAUGCUACAAUGGCUGGUACAGAGAGUGGCGAGCCUGUGAGGGUGAGCGAAUCUCGGAAAGCCGGUCUCAGUUCGGAUUGGGGUCCGCAACUCGACCUCAUGAAGUCGGAGUCGCUAGUAAUCGCAGAUCAGCAACGCUGCGGUGAAUACGUUCCCGGG